CAGCCGCCGCGGUAAUACAGAGGGUGCAAGCGUUAAUCGGAAUUACUGGGCGUAAAGCGCGCGUAGGUGGUUUGUCAAGUUGGAUGUGAAAUCCCCGGGCUCAACCUGGGAACUGCAUUCAAAACUGACUGACUAGAGUAUGGUAGAGGGUGGUGGAAUUUCCUGUGUAGCGGUGAAAUGCGUAGAUAUAGGAAGGAACACCAGUGGCGAAGGCGACCACCUGGACUAAUACUGACACUGAGGUGCGAAAGCGUGGGGAGCAAACAGGAUUAGAUACCCCUGUAGUCCCUGUCUCUUAUAC
rnacentral:rRNA from 1 species